GGAUUGUGCCGUUGGCCAGACACCCUCCGUGCCAUGAUGGGGAGCACAACAAGUUGGGGAACGCGUGGUAUGCCACACCCGGUAACUUCGAAAAAGGCUGCGACUGACUUAAAGAAGCAGCAUGGAUGUUAAGAAUAAGUGGACCGGUAUGUCUACACGUAAGAGAAAAUGUGGUAAACGUGUUAUCUCUACACAAACAGCAAUGAAGACCUCACACAGUAAGUGUUCAGAUAAUUAAAAAUUAUUUUGUAGAAGUACCCCUUACUGGGGGGCAGGUCCUACACACUUCCCAGUUGGAAGGGAAUUACAUGCUGCCUUGAGAUCAUCUAUGGAGAUUAGGCACUUAAUGUUAUCUAAAGUGUCUUCCACAAUGCUACCUUUUACAAGGCAAGAAAUGUAUUCUAAAAUGAAGUUUCAUGUGGAUCCAUAACAAGGCUUUAGUGAUGAUAUGAGGUUUGUAAGGUUUCCGAGAUGUUGUAAGGUUUCCGAGAGAAGGUGCAUUGAUAAGAUGGGUGUAGUUUGUGCUACUUUAUUGCCCUCUUGGUAGUGAUGGGAUAAGGAAUGGACAAAAGACUUGACUUUACUUUAGCAUUUAAAGGAUACUAAGUUUAUUUCUGGCUUUGCGAGUUUCUAAAAUAUUAGGUCUGACAAUUUUAGUUCAUUCUGGAUAUCACCUUAAUUAGGUGAGAUUGUCUUUUGUUAAAGGGACAAGCACCAGGACCACAUUAGUGAUUCUAAGUAGUUAUGGUGCCUGCACUCUGUACAUACAGCAUUUGGCUAUGAAACACUCCAUAUACUGAGCUUAGCCCCUUUGCUGACAUAGGUGUAACCCCACUUCCAGCAGCAUCAUUUAUUUGCACAUAAUUGCAUUCAUUAGUUGAGAGUGGAUAGGGUGACCAGAUCCAUCAAGUUUUCAAGGACUCGUAUCACAUAUACGAAUUUAUGGAUAGCACAUGAAAAGGUGUAGUUUGUAGAACUCAGAAGAAGGUGUAUAAGAUUACGUAAUUAGGAAAUAAAGAAUCCUGCAGAAUACGCAUAACACACUGCACAGCAAUCCUUUUCAUGCUUUUUUUUUUUUUACAAAUAUGACAAAUUAUGUGUUCCUGAAAACAUGGUAGAUGUGGUCACACUAAAAAUGGUCAGCUGACACUGAGCCAAGGAAUGGCUGGUAGAAUUGGCAUCUGCAGCAUCACCAUUACCAUAGAGAAGCCUCAGCGUCUGAUGGGACCCAGGGGAGAGGGCAAAGUGUUGCAAAAUGGUUUGCCCCAUUAACACGAAACUGGGUCAGGGUAUUCCUGGCAUCAUAACCACUGAAUUAGGUUUCACUUAAACAUUAGACUUUAGAGGUUAUUAUGCUUGGAGUAACCUUUUAAUGUGGGUGAAUAGGCAAAUGAUGGCACCCCUUACUACACAUUUAUGGACUUCCCAAACCACCAUGGAAGUGGAACAUCUUUUUGAUUCUCUUAAAAGUAAUUGGAAAUGUGUUGAGGUAAGUUGUGAGGUCACCUCUGGUCAUCAAAAAGUGAGCAAAAGUGUCACAAGUGUGUAAAAGUUAGGCAUAGGGACAAUGUGGGUUAGUCACAUCCAGGUAUUGACUGAGUUGGUGGAUGUCCUAGGUUUUGUUGUGUAUAGGUGCCAUAUUGAGAUGUGCAUGUGAAAGCAACAGGUAGGAACAGGUAGUCCAGAUGGGAAUACUGCCUAUAAGGGUAAGAAAAGUAUAUCUAUGGGGCGUGGAAUUGUGUAUGCACCAGACAUCUACCAAGCGAGCCUUGUGUAGAGCAGCACAUAACUUACAAAUUUGGGAUAGCAGAGGAGAGAACUUGCCCGUGGAGGAGUCCAGACCAGGAUUCAUGGGAAUGUUCAAAUCCCCAUUGAACACUAGGAUUCCCUCUGUAAAGGAUGACAGUUGGUGAAUGACCUUCAAUAGAAAGAAUAUUUGAUUAGUGUCAGGAGCAUAAACGUUUGCUGAAGAAAACAUCAAGCCCUGUAUUUGAGCCCUGAUAAAAAUGUACCUGCCUGAAAGGUCAUUUUGGCAAAGUGUUGGAAUAGCCAGUAGAUUUUCCACCCCUUAUAAGAGAUCAAAAUGCCAGAAACCUAUGUGGCCAGAGGGACAAAGGGAGAACAGCAGGCAAUGCUUCAAAUUAACUAAUCUUCAGAAUUAAGAGCAGGAUCUGGCGCAACCAUUAGGCAUACUAGGCAUUCACCUAGGGCGCCGGCCUAAAGGGGGCGCCUACCGGGAUAUUUCCUGGUGGGCUCCCUUGUCCUGGAGCCACCCCCUUCAGCGCCGGGCCAAUCAUCCAGGCUGAAUGUCUAAUUCUGUGUGUCAGUGAGUGUGUGAGUGUUUGACUGUCAAUGAGUGUGUUUGUGUGUCUGUCAGUGAGUGAGUGUAUGUAUGUCAGUUAGUGUCUGUAUGUGAGUGUAAUUUGUCAGUGAGUGUAUGUAUGUCAGUGGGUGUCUGUCUGUGUGUGUCAGUGAGUGGGUGUAUGUCUUUCAGUGAAUGUGUGUCUGUCAGUGAAUGUCUGUGUGUCUGUCAGUGAGUGUCUGUCUGUGUGUCUGUCUGUCAGUGAGUGUGUGUGUAUGUCGGUGAGUGUGCGUGUCGGCCAGUGAGUGUAUGUCUGUCAUUGAGUGUGUGUGCCUGCCAGCAUGUGUCUGUCAGUGAGUGAGUGACAUGAGGAGGCGGCAAAAUGGAUCUUUGCCUAGGGCGGCAGAAAUCCUUGCACUGGCCCUGGUUACGAGUCACAGUAGCAAAAAUUUAAUGCUUUACAUUUUUAAGUUUUUGUUGCUGUCGCAUUUUGUCAUUUGAUGCCCUCUGGCUUUUGUGAAUAAAUUCUUAAGAUUAUUUAAUUGGAUACAUUGCUUGCUGUUCGGCCUCUUUGCUUCACUGAUGACUGUGUAGUAUAAUGAGUUUUUCUACAUAUGUUUUUUAUUAUAUGGUGUAGAGCAGCAACAUAUACAACAGCACAAUGGGUGUAAUGUAUUUAUAUAAUAUAUUUAUAUUUAUAUGUGCAUGUGUGUGCAUUUAAAGACUUGUGUUAAGAGACAGCACAUUCUCUAUAUAGUUAUUGCCAACAGUAAACGAAAAAUGUAAUUUUUAUACAUCAUUUUAUGACACCUUCCAUCUCAUUCUAUUCAGUAACCAAAUAAAACCAGUUUUACUCUUUGCCCACCUACAUAUAAUUCCUUUGCAGUAGGUUUCAAAAUUAGAUGCAACAACCUUUUCUAGGGCACUCUGUUCAGAUUAAACUUGUUAGAACAUUUGCAUAUAUAUAUAUAUAUAUAUAUAUAUAUAUAUAUAUAUAACGACUAGAGCAGAGGCAAGUGUGUGGCCACAUAGUCAUCAGGUGGCCAGAUUGCAUUAAUUUGGUCAGGAGUGUCUAAAGGGAACCUUGUUGUCAGAAGACUACAGUCAGUGUGUAAAUGACCUACUGUGACCUACAUUACUGGUAAUAAAUUAUGUAACCGAACAUGGUCUGUGGGAUAGACUCCCAAUGCCACAGAAUUGGAUGUUUGUUGCAGAGUGCCAAUGCGAUGCCUUAGCAUAUGUGAAGAUGCAAUACAGGGAAGGGUACAAGCCACAGUAGGUAAUAGAUGGCGUCUCCAAGUAAUUGUGGGAAAUGAUAAGGAAUUUAAGCCCCAAGAGUAGUCUCUAUGAAACACAAGUGAAUCCAGCAUGAACUGGAGGCACGUUGGCAGUAUAUAGUGAAACUAGAAGUUAUGACAGGUAAACACUGGCCCAAAGACUAAGGGGGAAACUCUGGGCUGAUUGUCAUUGGGUUAGUAUGAUGUGUUAGAGAUGAGAAAUCAUAUUUACACAACUUUCCCAUUUCAUGCUUUAGUCUUGAAAAGGGGAGGUUCUCCCGAAAAUUUGUCAUUACAGAAUUCUGUUAGUUCAACAAAAAGUUAUUACAACAUAUGGAUUUCCUCUGUUAUUUUACAUAAAUAUAUAUAUAUACAUAUAUAUAUAUGUGAAACACUACAUCCUUGCACUCGGGCUAUUGAGUCCAUAUUUUGCCAGAUGCAUUAAAUCUUUCAUCAGGAUUCUUCGAUCCUGAUGAAAGUCCCGUAAGUGGACUGAAACGAUGAUCUGUUUUUACUGAUUUCUUCAAUAAAGACUUGAAUUUUUAACAGAAGACCAUGAGUGUAGCUACCUAUUCUACUCUCUCUCUCUCUCUCUCUCUCUCUCUAUAUAUAUAUAUAUAUAUACACACACAUAUAUAUAUAUAUAUAGACUUGUAAUCAAAAUUAUUCAUCACCCAUGGAAAAUUAGGUUUGUUGUCAAAACUAAGAGACUUUCAGCUGUUUGCAAUGAACAAAUCAAACAAAAGCAAUUGAAAUGGCUCAACACAACAAUUAUUUCAAGUGUUUUUCCCCAAAUGCAACUAAAAAUGCAACUUAUAAUGACUAAUGCAGUUAUAAAUAUUCAACCCCCUGAAUAAAAUCUCUCACAACAGAAUAAAUAUGCAAAGCAGGUGUUGUCCCCCACCUGAUGCAGCUAAGCAAGGGCUUCAUUAGUUGCACCAGGUGUGCUUAAAGCUGGAACACAUUAAAUACUUGAACUGGCUAGGAGUUUGUGUCACAUUUAACUGCAUGUUAGAAAUAUGCCUAAGUCAAAGGAAUAGUCCACAAAAUUAAGAAAAUAAUUCAUCACCCUUCACAAACAAGGAACAGGAUACAAAAAGAUAGCGAAGGCACUGACUGUUCCUAGAGACACCGCUGGAAGCAUAAUUCUCAAGUUCAAAGUUGAAGGAACAGUGGUCACACUGCCUGGGCGGGACAGAAAAAGGAAGCUAUCAAUUGCAGCAAGCAGAUUGUGACAAACCCUCAAGUGACCACAAAUCAUAUAAAAUCAGGGAUGUAAUUGGGGGCUCUUGCUGGGUUUAAGUGUAGAUGUCUAGUUGAGAGGAGAGAGUGGAGUUGUAGAGGGAGGUUGCAGUAUUAGGGCAGGUGAGGUUUGAGAUGGGUUGGUGAAGAAUCGUUGUAGGUCAAAAAAGUGGAGGUUUCUGGGAGAUUGAUGUGGUGAGGGUGGUUAAUUUGUGUAUGGGGUAUGCUGAUGUCAAAAGUCAGAAGGUAGUUGUCAGAUAGAGGUAGUUGUCAGAUAGAGGAAAUUGAACUUUGGAGAGAUGGGUGAAGAUGAGUUCAACAGUGUUUCUUGCUGUAUGAGUUGCUGAGUUAGACCACUGUCUGAGUCCAAAAGAGGAGGUUACAGAGAGCAGACGAGAGUCCUUUAAGGCAGUUGGGGUUGUUGAUUGGGAUAUCAAAGUCCACAAGAAUGAGGGAAGAAGUGCUAGAGAAGAGGAAAUGGGGUAGCCAGGAAGAAGAGUGUUAAAUAAAUAGCCUAGGAUGACCGGUGGGGGGGGUGGAGUCUAAAUUGAUGGCAAUUCUUAGAGGAGUGGGCUUAAAUAGGCGGACAGUGUGAACUUCAAAGGAAGGAAAACAUAGGGCAUGAGCAGGGAAGAUUGGUUGAGGCCUACACCACCUUCUUUACAGUUGUUUGGUUUGGGAGUGUGGGAGAAUUGUAGCCCACUGAAACAUAAAGAAGCAGGAGUAGGGCUAUCAGAGGGGAUGGUUAGGUCUCAGUGAGUGCAAGUAGCGCAAAACAAUUUGAGAUGAAAAGGUCGUGUAUGGCUGUUGAUUUCAUACUGCUGCAGAUGGAGUGGGCGUUCCAGAAUAGACUUGAACCCAUAGAAAAUCUCUGGUGGGAUUUGAAGAAGGCGGUUGCUGCACGCAAACCUAAUAGGCUAAGAUUGCUCAGGAACACUGCCAGAAGCUGGUGUAUGGCUAUGCAUCUUGUUUGUAAGCACCAAAGAUAGUUUCCAUGAAGGGGUGUAAAAAUUGUGAGACUGGAGAAAUCAUAAUAAGUUGCAUUUUUCUGUUGAAUUUGAAACCACUCAAAGCAUUCAUUGUGUUGACUCAAAGCAUUCUUUGUGUUGAGAUAUAUUUUAAUUGUUUUGUUCAUUGCAAACCGCUGAAAGUCUGUCAAUUUUGACAAUAAUCUUAAUUUUCAAUGAUUUUGAUUGUAUAUCUAUCUAUCCAUUUAUCUACACACACACACAUAUGUAUGUGUGUGACUUUUUUUAAAAAUUAGCAUUUGCAGGAAAACAUCUGACAUAACAUAGAAUUUCUGUGAAUACCACAUUUGGAACAUAUAUAACAUGCAUGUUUAGGGCUGAAACGUUGCAUAUUGUUAGUUUUUUAGAAGAAACACAAAAACAUAGACAGAGACUGAAAGAUUUUCUCAUAGUUUUGUGUUUGUGGCCCUACAUUUACUUGAGAAUGUUGCAAGAAGCCACUGCAAGGGACUGGUUUGCUCUUUCUGGAGUCAUGGGACACAUGACUAAUGGAUAUGACCAAUCAAGGUAGAGCAGUAGAAUCUAGAUUUCAAGCAGAGGUGAAAGGGCAGGAGAGGACUUAACAAAAGGAUAAAGAGACUCUGCACACAGAGCAAUUCUAUUAGGUGAACAAGACAUAACAGUGAGGCAGCAAUAUGUCUGCAUGAUCCUGUGACACAGAUAUUGACUCUGCUCUCUAAUUAUAGGUUGCUGAAUGAGAAAGAGGUUGUGACAUAACAUCUUUUAUCCUGACCAUGCUCACAUUCAAGCUAGCCAUGACAGUACAUUGUGGACUGCUGCCAAUGUUUGUGAGUCUAGAAAACAAAAAGACUGGCUCAAACCAUGCUGCUUCAUCAGAUACUUAUCUUGAUCGUCAUUGAGACCUAACCGACUGACGACCUAAAAGCUGAAAGUGGCGAACAAUCUCUCAACUUGAGCUAUGCUCUGUUGAAGCAAAACCCUGUUGCCCCCUCUUCUUUUGGGGGAUAUUUCCGUCCCCGCUGGGAAAGAUACUCAAUCUGCACUAUUGGAAGAAUUUCUUGCUGUUCCAGAGACCAUGUGGUGUGUCUAUGAUGACCACUGCACUAAAACUCCAGCAGAGUAAAGAAGAAUGGAAAGGUCAGACAUGGAAGGAACUCUUAGAUGCAAAAGAUUUGUUGGGUGAUCUGGGACUAUAUUAACAGCCGAUAUCACUUCCUAACUACAAGUACCAAAUCACAGACACAAGCCAAUACUACAGCUCAUGGUUCUUCUUUCACUUGGAGCAGCAAUUCUUCCCAUAGCCCAGAGUCCUAGAGUCCCAGAGGGCUCUUUGUGACAUGGAGUUCCUGGAGGGCUUCAAUCCGGCACCUUGGAG